CAGAAGUAACAGAAGCGUUAGAGGUCCGACUCGCGGCAGGCUCCUCGGGUUGUUCGUAGUCACAGCACGUACCUCGGUGUUUAUUUUGUGUGGAGUCAUACUUCCAGGGUCCUGAACAGGGCCCGUGGAUAUAAGACGGACCAGCUGGAUUUGAGGAUGAGCACGAACCUCCUAACUCACACCCUGCCUUUUUGGCAACCGAGCGGCUUUCUGAAACGGAGGAAAACCCCAAGAACCAUCUUCGCGUUCCCAAUGGGGACUCUUGUAGGGAUGUGCCCACAGGCAGUGGGAUUUCAGGGCGCCUCCAGGAAGCUGGAGCAGCGCACGGCUGCGCUUGGUGCGAGCUGUGCCCCUCUCACCCCAGGUACCCCAGCCGGGCUCCCCGUGCUGCUCCCAUAAAAGCUUCUUUUUUUUUCCACCUGGAAACUUCCCGGCACCGCUCACCCCGCAGCAGCUCCUUACAGGGAGUUUACCCAGGAAAAGAAAUAGAUGCAAAACUUCACGAGGGACUGCCUGCCCCCCUUCCAUUUUGUGCUGUGCAAAAUGCAGAGGAAGAAGAAAACGUACCAGCAAGUGAGGAAAAGUUUGCGGUUGGAUCCCGUUCUCACCAAAGCCCCGGCGAGCUGGACGUGAUGCUCUGACUGCAUUUCUCUUACAUCUCGGUUGUCCAAGUAGCUCUGUGGAGGGGGCUCCUGUCCAAACAGCUCCCCAGAAGUGGCUUCUGUCCAAGCAGCUCCAUGGCAAACUACGGGACUAAAGUGAGCAGCUUUCCUCUGGAUUUGACUUCAGCUUUCCAGAAAUCCGUGGCACGUAGGUGCAGCAUCCUAAUUCAGAUUUGUAGGAACACAGCAUGGUGUGUAAAAGCAGGCGGCUCUGUAGGAAAUCAGACAUCCACCCUUCACUCCCCUUGCACUUCACUGGGCAGAGAGCUCUGCUUACUGGUCUGUGCUGGGUUUUGUGCUGGGUUUGUUUUUGGUGCUCUCCAUCCUGCUGGUCCACAGCUGCACCCUGUCGUACCUGGUGUGGUUUCAGCCACUCUGCACCUCAGGCUCCUGACGCUUAACAAGGGAAAACAUUGAUACCUGUUUCAUCAGUGCUGGGAAGAUUAAAUGCAUUCAGAACUAGGGGAGUGCUCAGAUUUUGCUGUCGGCUGAAAUCACAGGCUUCUUGUUUUCCAAACCAGCUGGAGAAGAGGCUGCUCUGUCCUCUGGGGAGAGGAGCCAGGUUUUGGGAGUGCCUCCGAAGACAGACACCCUGGCUGCUGAAAUGGCAUGUGUCAGCAGAAAACAGGAGGGGAAACUUUCUGUAGAACCUGUUAGUACCGAGAACGUAAGCCCCUGGGGCAAGGUCUAGCUCUAUUUUUGUGUCCGCAGAUCAUCUGCUGCUAUUUCAGGUACUAACUUAGCAAUGCCUCCUACUGCACUCCUGCCACAGAGGCAAAUACAUUAGCAAAUCCCCAGGCUUGUGCACUAAAGAGCA